AACGAACGCUGGCGGCAUGCCUAACACAUGCAAGUCGAACGAGACCUUCGGGUCUAGUGGCGCACGGGUGCGUAACGCGUGGGAAGCUGCCCUUAGGUUCGGAAUAACUCCCCGAAAGGGGUGCUAAUACCGGAUAAUGUCUUCGGACCAAAGAUUUAUCGCCUUUGGAUGGGCCCGCGUUGGAUUAGCUAGUUGGUAGGGUAAAAGCCUACCAAGGCGACGAUCCAUAGCUGGUCUGAGAGGAUGAUCAGCCACACUGGGACUGAGACACGGCCCAGAAUCCUACGGGAAGCAGCAGUGGGGAAUAUUGGACAAUGGGCGAAAGCCUGAUCCAGCAAUGCCGCGUGAGUGAUGAAGGCCUUAGGGUUGUAAAGCUCUUUUACCCGGGAUGAUAAUGACAGUACCGGGAGAAUAAGCUCCGGCUAACUCCGUG
rnacentral:rRNA from 1 species